UUGUAUACAGUUUUAUGUCAGAUUGAAUUCCUUGUGCAGAAAUUCUUUCCUAGCAUACAGUUGACUUUUUCUAGAAUUAGUCCAGAGUAGAGUGCCUGAAAAUUUGAUGCUUUAUGUGCAAUUGAGGUGCAUGAAUGGAUUUAAACUUACUCUGCCUAAUUCUUGUACCACUAGUACUGAGACUACGGUAACAAAGGCAUCAGUGCAGGUUAGCAGCCUAAGAAGGGCUUGAGGCCCUGAAAACUUUCCAAAGCAAGGGCUCAGAAUGUGAGAGGGCAUUCUUAUAUUUAAAAAAAAAUCCCAAAACCACCGCCACCCCAACAAAUCCCCCCACUGUUAGAAUAUACUAUGUAGAAUCUGAAUAUAUGUAGAUGUUGAGACACAGCUGGUUGAGUUUAAUAAACAAUAAUCCUUCUUAUGUGCAGGGAAUCAUAUGGAUUUUCUUCCUGUGCCUGUAUAAACUUUGUACCCAUUGAUACUUCUAUAACUGUUCUCAUUUAGUAUUGUUAAUUGCUUCCUUUUAAGCAAGAAGUUGGUGGUAAGAAAGGAAAUCUCUUAACUGCUGUCUGUAAAAGGCCAAUCACUUUCACUUGCAUGCAAUUAGAAAUGUUUUUAUGUAACAUUUUAAGCCUCCCAAUAGUUGCAUUAAUCUCAGAAACAGGCUAUAGUUGUUGUCCUGUCUUAUUGGUAACAGUGUAUUUCAGGAAAACACUUGGUUGUAUGCUUUUAUUUAAAAAUACAAGGAGUAUGGUAACAUUGCAAGUAAUGUGUUAAGGACCUGGCAGGUCUCUUGGGCUUAUAGGGAGUUUAGAAAGCAAUUAAAAGGAAUAAGAGGUGCUAGGAAGGAGUGAAGUUAUUUCUUUAUGCUGCUCUUCACCACAAGGAUGUUGUGAGCAUUUUAUUCUUUUCAAAUAAUGUUGAUUGGAUGUUAUCUGAUUAUGGGAUUAGAGUGGCAAAAGACUGAAUGCUAGAAUGAAGUGCUAAAGACUCCUAAGUCACCAGGACUCGGUGCUAUUCAUUCCUUUAGUGGUUGUAAAGGAUGAAGUGGCUGAUCUGCUAAGAAGAAUGCAUCUCGUUAGGAUGAGAUGCUGUGCCAGGAGACCGGAAGCUGUCAAGUGCUGUACAUACUGUACUUCUAAACUGAACACAAAGAGCAGAGCUGGAAUUUGCAGACCAAGGACUCUUAUUUUAAUGCCACUUAAGUAGCUUUGAAUUCUGCAUGGAUAGUCUAGUAGUUCAGUGAGCACAAGAUACAACAGCUUUCUAUGCAGUUGUAUCUUAGAGGUAAUGAAAAAUACCAGCUGCAGCUGGGGUACUUGUCAUGUGUCUCUUGCUUGUGUGUUUGUUCCCUAAUAACAAGGGCAUAGGCUGCAGUCUGUACUUCACUUUCGUCUCUUUGUGGGUUGGUCUUCUAUAUCUAUCUGCCCAGUACUUGGAUUUUUGAAGUCUCUGAAUUCUUAUUGAACUAUAAAUGUCUUUUCAAUUUUCCUUUUUGAUAAAGUUUGAAAUCAGGUAGUGGAUUUGAAAGUUAUAAAAGGCCAGGCCUAACCUAAGCAGACAUGUUUAACUGCAUUAAUCUCUUCUGUGUUUAGCAGUCUAAACAAUGACUAAGUUGCUCCUGUUAUUAGCAGACAAGAGAGGGAUGAACCUAUACACUGAUACACUCACGCACCCUGUUUAGUUCAUCCCACCUUAAACUUGCAGUGUAUGGCCUUUGGCAGGAAAUUAUAUCCCAUGCAAUUUUUGUGAGGCUCUACAGGUCUUCAUUUUUGAUGUCAUUGUGGGGAUGAUGACCAGUGACGCAGAGGUGGAGCUGAAAGUUAAAGCAGUUCAGUAGUAUGCUAUGCUGCUUUCAGUGGCAAAGCUGUGAUGUACCUUGUAGUUUACACUCAGGUGACAACAGCAGUUUCUUAAGUACUGACAACUGUAGCUGCAAUUGGCUGUGUGGUCUUGUUCCCUCACUUGCCCUCCUGUUGAAUUAGCACAGUGAUUUGUGCCAUCAUGCAGUGACUUGAAUCAGAAAAUUGAUCCUGACUUCGAGAGGGGUCUGUGGCAAGCAGCAAUUUCUAACCCAAGCUAGUUCCUCACUCUGGUCUAGUGGGUGGCUCCACCAGGAGAUGGGAUCAUGGCCUAAGGAUGAGAACAAGCAGCAGGAGGGUCCUCUCUCUUUGAACUGGCAUUUUACCGAAUAUAUGCUCAUCAGAUUAUGCCUCUAGAAUCUGUGACUCAUCUUGCCCUCAAUUUAAUUACUUCAGAUGAUCUGUACAUUUUCAAUAAUGGCAAUACAUUCAUUCUGCCAUUUGGAGGAGCCUGUGCCACAGAAUAAUGAUCUGAAGAAAGCUCACUCAUUUGCAAGGAAGAGUCUUCAUUUGGGAAUUAGCACUGAUGCAGCUCAAGGGUGCUUCUUCAAGUCCAGACUCUUUCAGCAGAACUGUUAUUUUCCUCACACAACCUCUGGUACGAGGAUAAAAUUGGGUUUUUGUCAAAGAACAGAGUCCUGUAUCUAAACAGUGAGAAGGUCCUUGACAUUCAGUGGGAUGAGAAUCUCAGAACUGACUACUGGGGACUCCCAAGCUACAGAUCAGAAACCAUCUUGGUAGGUGUGGAUUGCUUGUCAGAAAUCCGUUCCGAAGCUUGAGUGCAAAGGAAGCAGGGUACUAACGAUGAAUAAGAAUGGAAAUCUUGAGGAUAACAAUGGAUACAGCAUCUUCAAAAGUAGUGGCAUUCUGGUCCUGGUCCUGCAACUGGAUUUGUUCAAAUGGACCUCGAUAGCCUGGGGACCUGAUGAACUUCGUGGGACUCUGGUGACUGCAGGUUCUCACUCUGAAGAUCUGAUUGUAGGCCUGAACAUAAAUUUCUAUUUCGUUCUCCUGUCUGUUUGCUUCUUAAAUGAUGAAAAUUAUCCUUUAAAAUGGUGUUGUCGUUGAGUCUCAUGCACAUCCACUUUAGUAAUGUUCAGACACUGUGUGCCUGGGAUGUUGUCAGACGUUGUUAAAUUAUUUCUUUUCUGUUGUGUGCCUAAACCUCAUGAUUGCUCUGAUUAUUGUGUUAGAUUUUUUCCAUUUAGUGCCUUUCUACCUAAAAUGGAGGCGAUAAUCGCCUGUGUUUUCAAUCGUUGUGGUAUUUCUUUUAACUCAGAUUUUUAAGUCAGAGUAACUGGUGAAACUGUUCAUGUUAUUUUUAAAGAGGUAGGUAGAUUUGUUUAUUUCUUGCUGGACACAAAGUAUAAUAUUUUAAUUUGCAAACUUGGUAGCCUAUUAUUACUGAAAGCUUUCAAUAUGAUGAUACUCUGAUGUAAUAAAAAGAGUAGGAAA